CCCAAAAUGUUAUGGUGGGCGUAAUGAACCAAGGACAGGAGGAGGAGCUAAGAAACUACGUCACAGAGGAUGGAUAUAAGCUUCUUUGAAGCGUAAAGUAAGUACUCUAGCAGGAAGAACGAAAUUCAGCAGAGUUAAUAUAUUACACUAUUUACAUUUUAAACCGUCAAAGCAAAGCGAUUCUUCAGUUCAGCAAAGGAACAAGUUGUGCUUAUCUACUUCUUACCGGGUUACAUUUGUCCCGGAUUGAAUAAUUAUUACAAAAACACUACGUGAUAGAAACACUCUCCCUUGGACUAACAGUUAAACAUUGUCUCCAAAAAUGAACGGAGUCCUGAAAAUCUAUGUGUUUGGAACCAUAGUGUCACUGGCAGCUGUAUUCAUCGGACUGGUGGAUUCCUUAGGCAGUUUGAUGCAUCUUCAGAAACUUGAACUCCAGGAGCCUGAAUAUGCAUGGACUGGAUACCAGCAUUACCCCUGCACAGCAAAUCUGCUGCAACAGGGGUCCCUCCGAACCAAUAAAGCUGUGGGGUCAUAAACAAGUACAUUGACAUUUGUAACCUUAACCGCGUGCUGUUUACAUUUUUUUAUUAUUAUUUCUUUGUUGAAGUACAUUUUAAUAGAAAAGAAAACAAAUCAUUAUUGGUACACAUAUCUGCACUAUUUUAUAUGAACAACAAAGAAACAACACCCGUGUAUAAGCUGAAAAAAAUGUUACUUGAAUAACUCUUGUUAUAAAAGGUGUUUUAGAUGUAAAAUGUACCGUUAUUGUUACAGUGAACCCUAAAGAGAAAAAUGCACUAGUACUAAUGAAAAUAAUAUGAUGCUGUGUUCAUAAUCCCCCACCAACCAGAGGGAUGCAUAUCUCCUGGCAACCUAGGGAUAGUACCGUGGAGGUGCCUGUACAUCUUAAUUAAAUAUUUAGUUGAUUAAACCUUGUACUAGACAUUCCUUAGUUCUUAGUGUCAACUGUAUGAAACUAACAUCUGCUUGUCUGAGCUGAUUGAAAGGGUAUAUCUUGGGAUCCGAUUGGUGCUAGCUCAAAUACUUCAAAAUGAAACUUUGCAUGUACAUUUAUUAUGACUGUAUUGAGUACCUUGCUUGCCUGUUUCAUGUUUAUAGAUUUAGGGCACGGUGACCACUUUUUCAAUGUUUUUUACAUUGUAUCCUUACAUACCUUUCCUCGUACAUGUAUCACAAUACCAAGACAAUAUUAUGCUUUCUGUCAGUAGUUGGAAUGUAUGGAGGCUGUAUGUGGAAAUAGGAUUGUGUUGGUUGUAAUAUGCACUAUAUUAAAAAGACAAGUUAUUUAA